rnacentral:rRNA from 1 species
CCUACGGGAGGCAGCAGUGAGGAAUAUUGGUCAAUGGGCGGAAGCCUGAACCAGCCAAGUAGCGUGCGGGAUGAAGGCCCUACGGGUUGUAACCCGCUUUUGCACGGGGACAACACCCUCCACUUGUGGAGGUCUGCAGGUACCGUGCGACUAAGGGCCGGCUAAUUCCGUUACAGCAGCCGCGGUACUACGUAAGGCAGGAGGGUUAUCCGUAUUCAUUGGGCGUAAAGGGAGCGUAGGCGGGCGUUCAAGUCAGCGGUAAAAUGGCGCGGCUCAACCGCGCCCCGAAGUUGAAACUGGACGCCUUGAGUGCACAACAGGCAGGCGGAAUUCGUGGUGUAGCGGUGAAAUGCAUAGAUAUCACGAGGAACCCCGAUUGCGAAGGCAGCCUGCCGGGGUGCGACUGACGCUGAGGCUCGAAGGUGCGGGUAUCAAACAGGAUUAGAUACCCGUGUAGUC